rnacentral:rRNA from 1 species
ACUCCUACGGGAGGCAGCAGUGGGAAUAUUGCGCAAUGGGCGGAAGCCUGACGCAGCGACGCCGCGUGGGGAUGACGGCCUCGGGUUGUAAACCUCUUUCGCCAGGGACGAAGCUUUUGUGACGGUGACCUGGAGAAGAAGCACCGGCCAACUACGUUGCCAGCAGCCGCGGUAAACACGUAGGGUGCGAGCGUUGUCCGGAAUUAUUGGGCGUAAAGAGCUCGUAGGCGGUGUGUCGCGUCGGCCGUGAAAACUUGGGGCUUAACUCUGAGCGUGCGGUCGAUACGGGCAUCACUUGAGUUCGGCAGGGGAGACUGGAAUUCCUGGUGUAGCGGUGAAAUGCGCAGAUAUCAGGAGGAACACCGGUGGCGAAGGCGGGUCUCUGGGCCGAUACUGACGCUGAGGAGCGAAAGCAUGGGGAGCGAACAGGAUUAGAUACCCUGGUAGGCUCUGC